rnacentral:rRNA from 1 species
AACGAACGCUGGCGGCAUGCCUAACACAUGCAAGUCGAACGAGACCUUCGGGUCUAGUGGCGCACGGGUGCGUAACGCGUGGGAACCUGCCCUUAGGUUCGGAAUAACUCCCCGAAAGGGGUGCUAAUACCGGAUAAUGUCUUCGGACCAAAGAUUUAUCGCCUUUGGAUGGGCCCGCGUUGGAUUAGCUAGUUGGUAGGGUAAAAGCCUACCAAGGCGAGGAUCCAUAGCUGGUCUGAGAGGAUGAUCAGCCACACUGGGACUGAGACACGGCCCAGACUCCUACGGGAGGCAGCAGUGGGGAAUAUUGGAAAAUGGGCGAAAGCAUGAUCCAGCAAUGACGCGUGAGUGAUGAAGGCAUUAGGGUUGUAAAGCUCUUUUAACCGGGAUGAUAAUGACAGUACCGGGAGAAUAAGCUCCGGCUAACUCCGUG